GGGCGGGAGCGGCGGCUGCGGCCGGACAGCAGGACGGUCAGCAGCUUCUUCCAAGUCAGAACGGCCGCGCCUCCGGAGAGCCCAGCCUGCCCCGGGAGCUCCGGGCAGGGAGAGGACAGGCAGCCCCGGGCUCGGAAGGACUCUGCAAAGGAGCUGAUCUGCCCCUGGGAGACCCCCACAGGGCAGGGGAGAGCGGGGUAACCCCGACACAGACGCUCCUGCCUGAGACCGCAGUGUUUGCCAUGCAUGGCCCAGCACAUGUUGGAGCCAUCCUCCAGCACCAGGGACACCCAGACCACCACAGCUCCGGAUAACAGCCCCUGGUGUGCCCAGCUGUUUGUGACCCAAGAGCUCCAAGCCUCUCUGGAUUGGUUUUCUUUCCUGUCUUUGGUGUGUUCAGUUCUGCUCAUGACAAACUCGUCGAUAAACGAGCCUGGUUUCAUGCCUUGGAGCAGAUGGAGGAUGUGUGGGUGAUGUCCUGGGAAACGGGCUCUUAUCGGAGUUUCUGCCUUGGCCAUGAGGUGUCAGCACACUGAACACAGCACAGCUGGAGCAGGGCUGGAGGGGCUGGCAGGGCAGGACUCAGGUUUCAGUGCCAAAACUGGGGCUUGUUUGUGUCCCCAGCCUGGGCCCACCUCCUAUUAAUUACAAUUUUUUAAUUUCAAAGCGUGCUGAUUAAGAGGCUGGGGAAAAUGGGGUGUCCCUCAUGAGAUGCUGUGUGCUGAGUGGCAAAGCAUCAUUCCUUCAUCCAAACCAAACAUAAUCCCAGAGGCAUCAAGGAGUGCAGAGCUCUCCUGCUCCAGCUUCCCAGUGCAUGGGUUUGAAGCCAUGGCUCGACCUGGGAACACCUGGGGAGAUCCAAGCCAAAUCCCUGUUGGUGUUUUGGGCCCCUCCAAGCUGGGAUUGAUGUGUUGCCACAGGCAGUGCUGAUAUUGAGUGUUGGAUUGUUGCCUUCCCUGUGUCAGUGUUUGAAGGUGGUUGUUUUAUUCCUUGGACGAGUUUCCUCAGUGUGUGUGUGCUGUAGGUCCCUAUUCUGUACCUUGGCCAUGACCUGUGACUUCUGAUGCUGCUGUUUUGUACUUUCUGAUUAUAAAUGGAGUCUUUCCUGUCUGGC